rnacentral:rRNA from 1 species
GGCCUCCUUCCUAUUCUUUCGUCGAUCUCCCUCGACUUGGGCUUCGUACAUCGAGAUCGAGAGAGGCUCUUACCUGCGAGGCUGGGAGAGAGCAGUCAGGCGGCGGCGGUGGCUCGAAGCACAGUCAGGCGGUGGCGGCUAGCGCGACGCCCGCAGCCACCUCACGUUCCCUCGAUCUUCAUCCUAUUAGCUUUCGCCACCGUCACGCCGGUCCAGGCCCUGCCUCUGCCUGAGGCCACGCUAGGGCGCCGCCACCCACCUCACCCCCUUUGCACACCCAAUCUCUCUUUCAGAUCCAGAUCCAGGCUGCUCAUCGGUGUGGAUCCCCAGCCGAAGCAUGAACAUCGAUCCAGGCAGACCUCCUCUCCGAAUUCAGCCACUGGGGCAUGGCUCCCCUGCGGUUUGAAUCUGGGCGCUCGUCAACAGAGCAACCAGAGAGGUGAGCUCUGGCUUUGGAUGCGUGGAGGGUAGGGGCCAGAGCCACCACGGCAGCCACGAGAGCGACAUGGGCCUGCCAUGCUCGUCAACGACUUCCUCGAGAGCGGCGAUGGAGGUGGAGACUCGCGCAGCAGCAGCGACGGCGAGCCCGACGGUCCCGACCUCACCCACGCAUUGCUGUUCACAACCAUGGCUUACCCCCCACAUCGUGUUCGUCUGCUAGGCAUGUUGGUUAGGUAGCUGGCUCUGCUUCAGAAUCUCUGAUCAGUACAUGUUGGAGGAACAUCUCUGCAAUCACAUGUAUAGCAGUCGCUUACCAGUAUAUAUUUUGGGUAGCAGCUACUCCCUCUGUUCCUAAAUAUUUGUGUUUCUAGAGAUUUCAACAAGUGACUACAUACGGAGCAAAAUGAGUGAAUAUACACUCUAAAAUAUGUCUAUAUACAUCCGUAUGUGAUAGUUCAUUUGAAAUCUCUAAAAAGACAAAUAUUUAGGAACGGAGGGAGUACUUUCGAGUAAAUUGUUGGUAUAUAGUAAGUACAGUGCUGCUAUCCCGUUUUGCUCAGAAUUUACUCUGUAGAACCACAGUGCAUGAUAACAUGAACAAAAAUAUUGAUAUAUGUGGCAUGUUGAUUUUACUCCAUGACCACAGGGGAGAACAAAAAUAGAUGUACAAGCAAGCUGAAAACAAGAAGGAAAUUGAGUUGCUUUCCAUGGUUCACUCACCAUUGUUCUCAAUCCAUAAGACAGAGCUUCAGGCUUGGUUCAAAAUCACAUCCAUGCUUAGUUUCUUACCAUCUACUUAUUGCUUGGUUAUUUAUCUGUCUAUUUUAUUGUUAUACUAGCAGACAUUCUCACAAAUCUUGCCCAAUGUUUUGACAUUUUCAGUACCUUUUCAUUGGCUAUUUCUUUGAAGCUUGAAUUACAAAAAGGAUAAAGGAGAAAUAUUGUGUACCAUGGUAUGAUAUAAUAUACCAGUUCCAUGAUAUGUGGUAAAUUUCCAUGGAAAUUGCCUAGAGUUUCUCAUCUUCGGUAAUGCUGGCAGAGAGUGGGAGCACAAAAUCGUUUGGAGAUUUAUGAUGUGAGAUCUAAUAUAUAAAUCUUUAUAUAUUCAUCUUUUCUUAGUUAACCUGCUUUUCGGAACAAAUUGUCAUAAUACAUGUAGGAAAAAUAUAUGUGCAAGGAUAUGAAUUGUCCAAGCUCAGGCCACUGCUGGACAAGGUACUCACCUACUUUGAGGCAUGCAUCUGGCAAGGUGUUCAUUGGUGUGGAACUCUGGCAUCCGGCAAGGUGUUCAUUGGGGCAGGGAUCGAUGGAGACGAAGUUGUGCAUGACGAAAUCCCUGAAGUGGCCCCUAGAUACUGCUGAAUGACCGGGUCACAGGCGGCAUCCAUCCAAUCUCGCCGUUCUGCCGACUUAGCAGGAACACUAUCCGCUCGUGCUCCACCCUUCACCGGAACUCCGUCUGACCAUGCUUCACCCGAGAUAUGUACUACAGUUUCAGAAGAUAAUUAAUACCCAAUGCAUAGCUUCUCUGUUGCCCAAUGUACCACAACUUAUUAUGCAAUCCAGUUCUGCACCACUGGAGCAUUAUUAUUUAUGUAAUAAUGCUUCUACUUUCUGCAGAAGCGACAAUAAAACUUCUCUUGAGAAUCUAGCACAUAAGGCAAUUGUAUGCUGGGUUUUAGACAUAGACAAUGCAGCUGGGAAUAUUAAUCGUAUGUUGGGUUUCAGACAUAGGCAAUGCAGCGACCUAGAAUUGACUUGAAGUUGUUUCUUUUGCUGAGGUAGGACGUAGGAAACAUGCAGCUUGAACCAGAGCAGAAAAAUGUACUGCAAUUUGGUUGCAUCUUUAAUAUAUGUCUAGAGGUAUAAUGUAUAUGUAGUAGGUGCGGUUCUGUUGCUUCUUUUAUUUUCUUUUACAUAGUCUAUUGACUGGUAGCAGGAUGAGAGGGAAGUUAGCAAGUCACCAG